UUCCGUAGGGUGAAUCUCCGGAGGGAUCAUUACCGAGUUUACAACUCCCAAACCCCUGUGAACAUACCACUUGUUGCCUCGGCGGAUCAGCCCGCUCCCGGUAAAACGGGACGGCCCGCCAGAGGACCCCUAAACUCUGUUUCUAUAUGUAACUUCUGAGUAAAACCAUAAAUAAAUCAAAACUUUCAACAACGGAUCUCUUGGUUCUGGCAUCGAUGAAGAACGCAGCAAAAUGCGAUAAGUAAUGUGAAUUGCAGAAUUCAGUGAAUCAUCGAAUCUUUGAACGCACAUUGCGCCCGCCAGUAUUCUGGCGGGCAUGCCUGUUCGAGCGUCAUUUCAACCCUCAAGCACAGCUUGGUGUUGGGACUCGCGUUAAUUCGCGUUCCUCAAAUUGAUUGGCGGUCACGUCGAGCUUCCAUAGCGUAGUAGUAAAACCCUCGUUACUGGUAAUCGUCGCGGCCACGCCGUUAAACCCCAACUUCUGAAUGUGACCUCGGAUCAGGUAGAAAUGCCCGUCUG
rnacentral:rRNA from 1 species